CAAUAACAGGUCUGUGAUGCCCUUAGAUGUCUGGGCCGCACGCGCGCUACACUGAUGCGAUCAACGAGCCUAGCCUUGGCCGAGAGGUCCGGGUAAUCUUGCAAACCGCAUCGUGAUGGGGAUAGAUUAUUGCAAUUAUUAAUCUUCAACGAGGAAUGCCUAGUAAGCGCGAGUCAUCAGCUCGCGUUGAUUACGUCCCUGCCCUUUGUACACACCGCCCGUCGCUCCUACCGAUUGGGUGUGCUGGUGAAGCGUUCGGUUUGGUGGCUCCAAGCGGUUCGCCGCCGGGGGCAACCGAGAAGUUCGUUAAACCCUCCCACCUAGAGGAAGGAGAAGUCGUAACAAGGUUUCCGUAGGUGAACCUGCGGAAGGAUC
rnacentral:rRNA from 1 species